UUGUAUGGCCAAAUCUCCUUGCCAAACUCGUCUUAGAAGCUAAGCAGGGCUGGGUCGGUUUGUACUUGUAUGGGAGACCACUGGGAGUACCAGGUGCCAGUGGU
rnacentral:rRNA from 1 species